GGCUGGCCUGAGGGUAGUGGAUUAUCAGAACUUAUUAACAUCAGUGUUACUGAAGUUGGUGAACAACACCCCCCCCCCCCCCACCCCACUGGUAAAUUUGACUGGCUUUUU
rnacentral:Y_RNA from 1 species